GGCAGAGUGGCUCAAUGGAGGGGGCACCUGCCUAGCAAGUAUAAGGCCCUGAGUUCAAACCCUAGUUCUGCCA
rnacentral:tRNA from 1 species